rnacentral:rRNA from 1 species
AGCGCAGGCGGUGCGGCAAGUCUGAUGUGAAAGCCCGGGGCUCAACCCCGGUACUGCAUUGGAAACUGUCGUACUAGAGUGUCGGAGGGGUAAGCGGAAUUCCUAGUGUAGCGGUGAAAUGCGUAGAUAUUAGGAGGAACACCAGUGGCGAAGGCGGCUUACUGGACGAUAACUGACGCUGAGGCUCGAAAGUGUGGGUAGCAAACA